UACGGAGGGUGCUAGCGUUGUUCGGAAUUACUGGGCGGAAAGCGCACGUAGGCGGCUUUGUAAGUUAGAGGUGAAAGCCCGGGGCUCAACCCCGGAAUUGCCUUUAAGACUGCAUCGCUAGAAUUGUGGAGAGGUGAGUGGAAUUCCGAGUGUAGAGGUGAAAUUCGUAGAUAUUCGGAAGAACACCAGUGGCGAAGGCGACUCACUGGACACAUAUUGACGCUGAGGUGCGAAAGCGUGGGGAGCAAACAGG
rnacentral:rRNA from 1 species